rnacentral:rRNA from 1 species
AUUGAACGCUGGCGGCAGGCCUAACACAUGCAAGUCGAGCGGAAACGAGUUAUCUGAACCUUCGGGGAACGAUAACGGCGACGAGCGGCGGACGGGUGAGUAAUGCCUGGGAACAUGCCUUAGUGUGGGGGAUAACCAUUGGAAACGAUGGCUAAUACCGCAUAACGUCUACGGACCAAAGAGGGGGAUCUUCGGACCUCUCGCGCUAAGAUUGGCCCAGGUGGGAUUAGCUAGUAGGUGGGGUAAAGGCUCACCUAGGCGACGAUCCCUAGCUGGUCUGAGAGGAUGAUCAGCCACACUGGAACUGAGACACGGUCCAGACUCCUACGGAGCAGCAGUGGGGAAUAUUGCACAAUGGGCGCAAGCCUGAUGCAGCCAUGCCGCGUGUGUGAAGAAGGCCUUCGGGUUGUAAGCACUUUCAGUCGUGAGGAAGGUGGUGUAGUUAAUAGCUGCAUUACUUGACGUUAGCGACAGAAGAAG